AAAAUUUCCUUGUUUAUGGGUUAUCGAUAUUUUUGAUAUACAAAGUGGUACAGUUCGAUUUUGAGCCUAACUUGACUUUGUUCCGGUCUUUUUCGAUACGGUUCGGCUCGAUUCAUUGGUUGAAAACUUGAAAUGCCCUGAAGCUUCAAAAUUGCCGGGAAGCCAAACGGAUCCCUAAAACCCUAGCCUCCCUCCACAGUCUGCGUCACUAAAGCUUCGAAUUUGGUCCAAAAUCAAAGCUCUCUCUCUCUCUCUCUCUCUCUCUCUCUCUCUCUCUCUCUCCUCUCUCUCUCUCUCUCAGCUUUCCAAUUUUCGUGAGAACCACACGGCUCUUGCCCUUUUAUGCUUAAACCCUAGUCCCCAUUUCCAUGCUCAAUCACAUCCCCAUUUCCAUGCUCAAUCACAUCCGUAAAUGGAAGCCCACACAUAUAUUACAAAAAUCUCGAAUUCUCGCUCCCCUCUCUUCUCUCAUCUUCACUCAACCCUCAGUGUCUGCAGCAAAGCUCGAUGACGAGUCCACCGUCUUCCCAAACCCUAGAAACGCAGUCUCCGAAGUCAUUGCUGGCUUGAGAAUGUUUGGUUUGGGAAAUUGUGUUGGUGAUCAUCGUUUCAAAACCAUUAUCCCGACUUUGAAUCAGCCUCAGGUGGAUUUGAUUAUUGAAAGCUUGAGCACUGAGAACCCGGAGUCGGCUUUUGGUUUCUUCAACCUUUUGAGGAAUGAGUAUGCGUUUCGGCAUUCCAGGGUUUCAGAGUUUAUUGUUGCUCAUGUAUUAGCAGGGAGAAGGCUGUUUAAAGAACUGCGUUUGUUUGUGAAGCAAAUGGUGGAUCAGGAAGGGCCCGGUUCGGCACAUUUACUUUGUGAGCUGCUCUUACAUAGAUUCAGGGACUGGGACUCGAGUGGUGUGGUGUGGGAUAUGUUGGAGUUUGCUUAUUCAAGAUCUGAGAUGAUUCAUGAUGCUCUGUCUGUUCUUGCUAGGAUGAAAGAUCUGAAUUUGAACGUUUCAACACCAACCUAUAACUGCCUGUUGCAUAACUUAAGACAUACAGAUAUCAUGUGGAGUGUUUAUGAUGAAAUUAAAGAUAGUGGAACUCAUCAGAGUGACCACACUUUUGCCAUACUUAUAGAUGGACUAUGUGAGCAAUCCGGCCUACAAGAUGCAGUUUCGUUCCUCAUGGGUGUGGAAAGGGGGGAUAGUGGGCCUUCAGUUGUUUCAUUCAAUACCAUCAUGUCUAGGUUUUGUAAAUUGGGUUUCGUGGAUAUUGCAAAGUCGUUUUUUUGUAUGAUGUUCAAGUGUGGACUACUUCCAGAUUCAUACAGUUAUAAUAUUCUUAUUCAUGGGCUGUGUAUAGCUGGUUCAUUGGAAGAAGCAUUGGAGUUCACUAAAGACAUGGAGAGGCAUGGGGUACAGCCUGACACAGUCACCUACAACAUUCUUUGUAAGGGGUUUCAUCUACUUGGUUUGAUGAGUGGAGCUCGCGAGGUCAUUCAGAAGAUGUUGAUUAAAGGGUUGAAUCUGGAUCAUGUGACUUAUACAAUUUUGAUAUGUGGGCACUGCCAUGCUGGCAAUAUUGAAGAAGCCCUUAAGUUGCAGAAAGAGAUGCUUUCAAGGGGUUUUCAGUUGAGUGUCAUUUUAUACAGUGUACUUCUCAGCAGUUUGUGUAAAAGUGGACGAGUAGAAGAAGCGUUGCGAUUGCUGUAUGAGAUGGAAGCCGUUGGCUUGCAACCAGAUCUUAUAACAUACUCUAUCCUCAUUCAUGGCCUAUGCAAGCAAGGAGAUGUUCAGAGGGCAAGUGAACUAUAUAGAGAAAUGUACAUGAAGAGAAUCAUUCCCAAUUAUUUUGCACACCGUUCUAUUCUGUUAGGUCUGCGUGAGAAAGGGGAUAUAUCCGAAGCAAGGAAGUAUUUUGAGAAUCUACUAACAAGGGAUGUGACAAAGGAUAUUGUGCUGUAUAAUAUUAUGAUGGAUGGAUAUGUAAAAUUAGGUAACAUUGUAGAAUCCACACGAUUAUAUAGACAAAUACUUGAAAAGGGAAUAAAUCCUAGUAUUGUCACUUUCAAUACUCUUAUUUAUGGUUUCUGCAAAACUGGGAAACUGGUUGAGGCUCAUAAGAUGUUGGAUACCAUCAAGCUGCAUGGCUUGCUCCCAAGUCCAUUUACUUAUACUACUCUUAUGAAUGCCAACAUUGAACGAGGAAACAUCCAUAGCAUGCUUAAGUUGCUUGAGGAGAUGGAAGAAAAUGCUGUACAGCCAACCCAUGUAUCUUACACGGUAGUAAUUAAAGCACUUUUCAAACUGGGGAAGCUGCAGGAGGCUGUUCACUUAGUUGAGGAUAUGUAUGCUAAGGGCCUAACCCCAGACCAGAUCACGUAUAAUACACUGAUCAAAUGUUUCUGCAGAGCUCGAGACUUCUUGAAAGCUUUUCAGUUGCAUAAUGAGAUGUUGGUUCAUAAUCUUGAGCCUACUCCUGUUACAUAUAAUGUUCUCAUCAAUGGUCUUUGUGUAUAUGGCGAGCUAAUGGAUGCUGACAGGCUACUGGUUUCUCUUUGUGACUGCAAUAUCAAUUUGACAAAAGUUGCUUAUACCACAUUGAUCAAAGCACAUUGUGCAAAGGGUGAUGUACAUAGGGCAGUGGGGCUCUUCCAUCAAAUGGUGAAGAAAGGAUUUGAAAUCUCCAUUCGGGAUUAUAGUGCUGUUAUUAAUAGAUUGUGCAAAAGGUGUCUAAUAACUGAUGCAAAAUAUUUUUUCUGUAUGAUGCUGUCCAAUGGGAUUUGUCCUGAUCAAGAACUGUGUGAGGUAAUGCUGAAUACUUUUCGUCGUGUUGGUGAUCUCAAUUCAGUAGCUGAGCUUCUAGCUGAGAUGUUCAAACUUGGCUUUCUUCGUGAGUAAUCCAUGGGGAAGUGAAUAUCCUUUGGCAUCUGACCAUGGGGAAAACUUGUUCACCGGCUCAGUAGAAAAAUUCAGUUCAUGAGACCUCUGAUGUCUUAUGGAGAACUAUCUUAAAGUUAUAUUUCUCCUUUCAACCGGAUGACAAGUAUGAAUUCUCAUAGCCGGCCCAGAUCCAGGGUUUUGUGAAGAAUUACUUGCAGUCUGUUUCCUUCCUGAUCUAUACAUGGCGAGAAAAAUCAAGGACUGUUGAGAUGAGGACUUCAUUUUCUAUAUGGCAAAAUAUGGCAAGUUUUGAAGGGAUUCGUAGAAUUGGAUACCUGCAUAUGCAGAAUCCAAAAGAAAUUGAAAAAAUGAGUACCAUGAAUUUUACAAGAAAACUUUCAGUGGGUUCUUGGAUCCAGUUGCAUACACUCACUUCACGACUGAGAGUGUGAGGUGGAGUUCAGCAGUGUUCUUUACAUUCCUGGAAUGGGUCUCUUAACAAUGAGGAUGUAGAGAAUGCAAGAACAAAGAAUAUACAUUUAUUCCUUGAUACCUGAGCUUUGUUAAGGGUGUGGUGGAUUCGAAUGAUCUUCCUCUUAAUGUUUCUCAAGAGGUUAUUCAAGAAAGUCGAAUUGUAAGCCCUAGUUCUUCACUAUCUUUAUGCAUUUUGUGAAGGGAAUCCGAUUACUCUUUGGACAUCUCUGUAGCAGUUAAUAUUUUGUUCUUUGUUCUUGU